rnacentral:antisense_RNA from 1 species
AUAGUUUCCCUUGCAAAGUUAUCAAAGUGCUCCCCAGAAGACAUUAGGUAUUUGCUUUCUAGUCUGC